UGAGACAUGCCGCUUAGAGUGAAAAGUCUUUGCAACCGAAGUGAGCCGACGGAGCCGAAGUGACGGGCCAAGCUCUUCUAAUUGAGCGCCUGCACGUAAGCUGUGCUGUCAGUAAGAAGGGGAGCCCGCCGCCUUUCGAAUUUGAAAGCACUUUUCUAGUGUGCGCUGUUUUUGAUUGCAGCUAGCGAGCGAAGAAAACGGAUGGCGCGAACGCGGCUUUUCUUUCGCCUUGCUUGUUGUACUAAUAACAUAGAAAGGGCUUUCUUUUCUCGCUUGUUUAGUAAAGUCAAGUUUUUGGCCUUAUCUUGCAGGUGACGACGACGUCGAGUUGGCGGCGGAGAAAGACUCGGCAUUCAGGCGAGCCGCCCGGUGGUGUGGUACGUAGUGGGUUUAGUACGCCCCGCCAAAACAACUCCGAAACAAACGAAAAGGUGCAUGCCCCCCUUCCGAGGGACUGCCAGUGAUAUACCUCACGAAGGUGGGGAUGACGUCAAGUCCGCAUGGCCCUUAUGGGCUGGGCCACACACGUGCUACAAUGGCAAUUACAAUGGGAAGCAAGGCUGUAAGGCGGAGCGAAUCCGGAAAGAUUGCCUCAGUUCGGAUUGUUCUCUGCAACUCGGGAACAUGAAGUUGGAAUCGCUAGUAAUCGCGGAUCAGCAUGCCGCGGUGAAUAUGUACCCGGGCCCUGUACACACCGCCCGUCACACCCUGGGAAUUGGUUUCGCCCGAAGCAUCGGACCAAUGAUCACCCAUGACUUCUGUGUACCACUAGUGCCACAAAGGCUUUUGGUGGUCUUAUUGGCGCAUACCACGGUGGGGUCUUCGACUGGGGUGAAGUCGUAACAAGGUAGCCGUAGGGGAACCUGUGGCUGGAUUGAAUCCUUC
rnacentral:ncRNA from 1 species